rnacentral:rRNA from 1 species
GACGAACGCUGGCGGCGUGCUUAACACAUGCAAGUCGAACGGAAAGGCCCUGCUUUUGUGGGGUGCUCGAGUGGCGAACGGGUGAGUAACACGUGAGUAACCUGCCCUUGACUUUGGGAUAACUUCAGGAAACUGGGGCUAAUACCGGAUAGGAGCUCCUGCUGCAUGGUGGGGGUUGGAAAGUUUCGGCGGUUGGGGAUGGACUCGCGGCUUAUCAGCUUGUUGGUGGGGUAGUGGCUUACCAAGGCUUUGACGGGUAGCCGGCCUGAGAGGGUGACCGGCCACAUUGGGACUGAGAUACGGCCCAGACUCCUACGGGAGGCAGCAGUGGGGAAUAUUGCACAAUGGGCGGAAGCCUGAAGCAGCAACGCCGCGUGCGGGAUGACGGCCUUCGGGUUGUAAACCGCUUUCGCCUGUGACGAAGCGUGAGUGACGGUAAUGGGUAAAGAAGCACCGGCUAACUACGU